GAAGACUUUCUCCAACCAAUCAGAUUCACUCUCAGCCCUCCUCACCUUCCUGCUCAGAUGGUAUCAGUGUUCAGUCAGAGCUCAGCCGGUCUGAGAGCAGGAGCUGAGCUCUCCAGACAGACAUGCCCAACAUGCGCAGCCUCUGGCUGGUCCUGCUGGCUGUAGCCGCGGUUCUGGUCUGGUAUCUGUCAGAUUUCGGGCUGUUCUUGGUUCAGGCGGGGAUCGGCCUGCUGUGUUUUCUGCUGAGCUUCACCACAGCCCGGUGCAGCGCUGAGAGGAGCACCCAGACCAGCAGCAGCUCUGAGGAACCUGCGGUUGAGUCGAGUGAAACUGAUCACGUGGAUGGAAGAGACGUGCCUGAUACAGCUGUUCAAACUGUACAAAAACCCACGAAAAGAUCUGAGUACACUAAUGUCCAGAGGUCACUUAACCAACUGUUCAAGUGUGCCUAUGCUCACCUGGUCCUGCCCUGGUACACUGUCCCUGAACCGGUAGACAGCCAGCCCUUACACGCAGCUCUGCACACGGAAUUUAACCUCAUUGUGGACCAGAUCAUUAUCAAGGCCAAAAAAUUUGACCUCUCAGCCACGAGUGUGGGCUGCAUUCACAUCUUCACCCAGCACCUGCGCUGUGCUAAGCAGCCCACCAGGUCCCCACUGUUCAGCUCUAAAUCACAGGAAAUGAAUGCCUACAGGGAAUUCUCUAAAGCCCUGAUCCUCAGCCUUUUCCCGCAGCACCUGUGGGAGCCCGUCGUUUACCGCUGUGCUCUACAGGAGAUUCUGGCUCUGAAAGUGCCGGCUCUUGUGACGUUGCUGUCAGACCCAGACAACUUGAACCGCCUGGUGGUUUGUCAGCUGGAUCGAGUGACCUCCGAGAACCCAGCAGAGGAAGUGCAAGACACAGAUAAAGAAAACACUAAUUCCUCUUCAGGGAGCCAGAAUGCAGAAGUUUCCCAGCAGGAGGUGGAGGAGAUUCCGUCUGAAGAAAACAAAACCAAAAAGUCAGGCAAUAAAGUGAAGAAAAAGUUCUCCAAGCUGUUUGAUUCUCUUAAUCCAAAGAAAGGAAGGAAGAAGAAACAGAUAGAGUUACGGCAGCAGGCUUUGUUAUCCCGCCGACCCGCUGUAAUAGAGCUGGAGACUGAUGGUCCCAGCAGCUGUGACAAUUCCAGCUAUGACAGUGAGGACAGUGACGUGGAGAGUUGUACCGGUAGCCUCCGGGAGGAUAUGAUGGAGUUCAAGCUGUCCUUCGAGAUGUGGCGAGCUGGAAAGUGGACUGUUACUGUAACUAAUGUUGAAAUAGAAGACGAGAAGUUGUGUUUUACAGUCCACUUAGAAGAGAACAACAACAAAGAGAAUCUUCACUGGGAUGUGAAAAAGACAAAGUCUGAAAUAGUGGAAUUUUAUCAUUGCUGCAAGGACUUACCUCAUCUGCCCUCUAUAGUAACUAUAGAGGAGAACACAGAGACAGAGCUUAAUGAGCAACUCCAAGAGGAACUACGGGACACGUUUGAGAACUUUUUACAGGCGCUGGUGGCAGAUACAGAGUUAGGCCCCACUCAGCUGGUGUUCGAGUUCCUGUGCCCACUGCGCAGAUUACUGAAGACAGAAGAACAUGAGGGAGGGGUUUGGGUUCUGUUGGGUGGGCUUGCGUCCUUCCUCACUCCUGGCCAUGAAGAUGAUGAGGUCUGCCCUCUGGAAGGGGAGGAGAAGCCGGACGAUCUUGUGGAUACAUGCAGCCUAUCAGAAGCCACGCCUCCGCAUGAUGAAUCAUCUCCUCUUAAAGCAGCGUGCACAGAUUCAUGUAAUACAGUACAUAAAGAAUCAGAGGAAGAGCUGCUAGUGACAGAUUCAGAAUCUUCACCUUCAUACGACCAGACCGAUGAUUCCACCAGUGAAAAAGAUCAGACAGACUAUGCUGAUUAUCUCUUUCAAGCUUCUCAUCGGAGGAUUUCGUCUAGAAGUGAAAGUGUUGAUGAGAAUUUGGCGCAUUUUGCAGCCAGAACAACAGUCCUCCCCAAAAAGCAGCCGACUGUCUUCUGCUCAUUCGACAGUGAUGAUGCUGGUCAUUAUGAAACCGACAGCAUCUCAGAUUUAUACAUCAGUGAAAAUGUGAGUAAGAGGGAUUCCCUCUCUCGCAAGAAGUCACCAGGAUCACACAAGAUCAAAGGGAAGGAGAAAGGGCAUCACGCCAAAGACGAGCCGAGAAAUGAGUCGAAAUGUGAGCUGAAAAAUGGGCCGCAAUUACGGAAAAAAGCAUCUAACAUGCCAAACAUGGGUCAACCUGAUGUCGACAAAGUGAUAUUCGAUCUACUUAAGGAAAUUUCUGGCAAUUCCCGCAUCCUUAAAUUCGUGAAGACUUUCCUAACACCAUUUAUGUCUUUGAUAAAGAAGAAACUGAACACUUUCUUAAAGAAGCUGAAUCCUUCAGAGGUUCAGACAGCUGAAUACAUCGACAAACUUCGGGAGCUUAUUUGGCCAGAGGGGGCGUCGCAGGAACUUCCUCGAUGUGCUGAGGAGAUGAAUGAGACCAGGGAGAAAGCUAUGCACCUCCUUUCUUCCAAACUUUCAGGCUAUCCGAUCUUCAGCAAAGCCGACGUGGAGGCCAUGUUUAAGAUCCUGCAGGAUGCAGAGGAAAAUAAGAAGUUGGUUUAUAUGCUGCUCUCGUAUAUUCUGGAACAGUUCCUGAAUGGAGAAGCUGCUUUUAAGGGAAUUCCUAAAGACACUUUUUAAUACUAAUGAAAUAUCUCAGCUAGUGUUUAUACUGUAAACCACUAUUUGAACAGGAUUAGUUUUAUCUGUGGACAGCCCAAGUUCUGCUGCUUUUUCCUAGGGUGGGGGGGGGGCAUCGAAAUAUAAUAGGUGGGCAUGUUUCAUGAAAAGCUUUGGUACAACUUUAAAUCAAAGAUGACAGAAGUGCGUAGAUGCAGACUGAGAAUAUAAUAUUAAAACGUGAAAAUUAGAACCAAGAAACCAAACUGGAACCAUUAACUUUUAAAUCUCUCAUUAAAAAGUCACCAAAAUUGCUUUCUUCCAUUUACGAAAUGUAGCACAAGUUAUACCCUUUCUUAAGCUGCUGAGAAACUGAUCCAUGCUUUUGUUUUUUCAUGACUAGAUUACUGUAAUGCAUUGUUCACUGCACUGCCUAAAACUACAAUUAACAGACUACAGCUUGUUCAGAAAACUGCAGCCAGAAUCCAAACACACACAAAGAAGAGAUAUAAGACAUAUAAUAGCUGUUUUAGCUUCACUUCACUGGCUGCCUGUGAUGUUCAUGAUUGAUUAUAAAAUUCUUUAAAGCUCCACUAGGUAGGGUUGAGAUUUUAUGCUCGUGGGCUCCCCCUACAGUUGUAGAGUGUAAUAAAUGUUUCAGGCGGAUUAGUUUCUCUUUUCUC
rnacentral:lncRNA from 1 species